GAACUUAGCAGAGAUGCUUUGGUGCCUUCGGGAACUCUGAGACAGGUGCUGCAUGGCUGUCGUCAGCUCGUGUUGUGAAAUGUUGGGUUAAGUCCCGNAACGAGCGCAACCCUUAUCCUUGUUGCCAGCGGCUCGGCCGGGAACUCAAAGGAGACUGCCGGUGAUAAACCGGAGGAAGGUGGGGAUGACGUCAAGUCAUCAUGGCCCUUACGGCCAGGGCUACACACGUGCUACAAUGGCGCAUACAAAGAGAAGCGACCUCGCGAGAGCAAGCGGACCUCAUAAAGUGCGUCGUAGUCCGGAUUGGAGUCUGCAACUCGACUCCAUGAAGUCGGAAUCGCUAGUAAUCGUAGAUCAGAAUGCUACGGUGAAUACGUUCCCGGGCCUUGUACACACCGCCCGUCACACCAUGGGAGUGGGUUGCAAAAGAAGUAGGUAGCUUAACCUUCGGGAGGGCGCUUACCACUUUGUGAUUCAUGACUGGGGUGAAGUCGUAACAAGGUAGGCGUACGUGU
rnacentral:rRNA from 1 species